GCUCCCGUCGUCUAGUCCGGUCAAGGACGCAGGCCUCUCAAGUCUGAAACUCGGGUUCAAAUCCCGGCGGGAGCACC
rnacentral:tRNA from 1 species